rnacentral:rRNA from 1 species
GAUGAACGCUGGCGGCGUGCCUAAUACAUGCGAGUCGAGCGAACAGACGAGGAGCUUGCUCCUCUGAUGUUAGCGGCGGACGGGUGAGUAACACGUGGAUAACCUACCUAUAAGACUGGGAUAACUUCGGGAAACCGGAGCUAAUACCGGAUAACAUGUUGAACCGCAUGGUUCAACAGUGAAAGACGGUUUUGCUGUCACUUAUAGAUGGAUCCGCGCCGCAUUAGCUAGUUGGUAAGGUAACGGCUUACCAAGGCAACGAUGCGUAGCCGACCUGAGAGGGUGAUCGGCCACACUGGAACUGAGACACGGUCCAGACUCCUACGGGAGGCAGCAGUAGGGAAUCUUCCGCAAUGGGCGAAAGCCUGACGGAGCAACGCCGCGUGAGUGAAGAAGGUCUUCGGAUCGUAAAACUCUGUUAUUAGGGAAGAACAAAUGUGUAAGUAACUAUGCACGUCUUGACGGUACCUAAUCAGAAAGCCACGGCUAACUACGUG